AUUGAACGCUGGCGGCAGGCCUAACACAUGCAAGUCGAGCGGAUGAAGGGAGCUUGUUCCUGGAUUCAGCGGCGGACGGGUGAGUAAUGCCUACGAAUCUGCCUGGUAGUGGGGGAUAACGUCCGUAAACGGGCGCUAAUACCGCAUACGUCCUGAGGGAGAACGUGGGGGAUCUUCGGUCCUCACGCUAUCAGAUGAGGCUAGGUCGGAUUAGCUCGUUGGUGGAGUAAAGGACUACCAAGGCGACGUUCCGUAACUGGUCUGAGAGGAUGAUCAGUCACACUGCAACGGAGAGGCCGUCAAGACUCCUACAGGCAGCAGCAGGGGGGAAUAUUGGACGGUGGACGAAAGGCUGGAGCAGCCCUGCCGCGGGUGUGAAGAAGGUCGUCGGAUUGUAGCACGUUAUGUGGGGAGAAAGGGUAGUAAGGUAAUACCUCGCUGCUUUGACGUUACCAACAGGAUAAGCACCGGCUAACAUCGU
rnacentral:rRNA from 1 species